rnacentral:rRNA from 1 species
AUGAGAUAUGGCUACUACAUCAAAUGGAGACACUUUGUAUACCUAGGUACCAAGGAGUUAGCCAUGGAGAAGCUAAGGAGCAAGGAAGAUCGAAGGAGGAAGGCAUACGCGAAGAUGGAGAAGAAAACAGGCAAGUCAGCACUUGCCCUGAUGAUCCAGACCGCCGUCCGGACGAUCCUGACCCCGGCCCGGAUGAUCCGGCUAAUGUGCCCGAAGACACUCGAAGGCCUCAUGCUGAAGCCGGAUCUUCCAGACCCCGGCUCGGAUCAUCCAGAUGGACCUGGGCGUUCGGACCAGGACCAGGACAUCCGGACCUCCUGCAGUCUCCAUGACAUGUCCGGAUCAUCCGAACGCCGCCCCAAAUCAUCCGGACCAACAUCCGGAUCAUCCGGAGAGUGCCUGCGUGCAUGA